rnacentral:tRNA from 1 species
GUCCCUGUGGCCCAAUGGAUAAGGCGCUUAACUAACGGAUCAGGAGAUUCCAGGUUCGAGUCCUGGCAGGGUCG